AGUGAACGCUGGCGGUAGGCCUAACACAUGCAAGUCGAACGGCAGCACAGUAAGAGCUUGCUCUUACGGGUGGCGAGUGGCGGACGGGUGAGGAAUACAUCGGAAUCUACUUUUUCGUGGGGGAUAACGUAGGGAAACUUACGCUAAUACCGCAUACGACCUACGGGUGAAAGCAGGGGAUCUUCGGACCUUGCGCGAUUGAAUGAGCCGAUGUCGGAUUAGCUAGUUGGCGGGGUAAAGGCCCACCAAGGCGACGAUCCGUAGCUGGUCUGAGAGGAUGAUCAGCCACACUGGAACUGAGACACGGUCCAGACUCCUACGGGAGGCAGCAGUGGGGAAUAUUGGACAAUGGGCGCAAGCCUGAUCCAGCCAUACCGCGUGGGUGAAGAAGGACUUCGGGUUGUAAAGCCCUGUUGUUGGGAAAGAAAAGCAGCAGGUUAAUACCCCGCUGUUCUGACGGUACCCAAAGAAUAAGCACCGGCUAACUUCGUG
rnacentral:rRNA from 1 species